GAAAAACAAAUCUUCUCAUUUUCCUGAACUGACCUUUAAAUCCACACAUACUGCCUCUGCCAUGCAGCCCUGGCUGCUAAGCACCCUGAUGUUCUUAUUAAAGAUGCAAGAUCCAGCUUGCUAGCAGGAAGCACCAGAGGCCUGUCAUGGUUGAAAGUCAGUGUUGGGAGGCUGUGUUUUUAUGUGAAUAUAUUCUCAUCAGUGAAAAAACUUACUGAGGCCACACUUGAACUACAUUCUUACUAAUGAAUCAACUAAGAAAAUGAAAGUUAAAAAUGCUUCAUAACUAUCUUUUUGCAACAUCCUCAGAACUGACAAUGAAAGAAAAUGCAUUUUCUUAAGACAGCAGCUCUUGGGGACAACCAUAGCAACCAAAUCAAAGCCAGAGUAUUACACAGAGGAGAGAAGCCAACUGUGAAUGGAGUCUUGCUCUGUAUCCCAGGCUGGAGUGCAGUGGCAUGAUCCUAACUCACUGUAAUGUCCACCUCCUGGGUUCAAGAUAUUCUUGUGCCUUAGCCUCCUGAGUAGCUGGGAUUACAGGCAUGCACCACCAUGCCCAGCUAAUUUUUGUAUUUUUAGUAGAGAUGGGGUUUUGCCUUGUUGGCCAGGCUGGUCUUGAACUCCUGGCUUCAAGUGAUCUGCCUGCCUUGGCUUCCCAAAGUGCUGAGGUUGCAAGUGUGAGCCACCAUGCCCAGCUGUGUAUGCUGACUUCAUAAGACGACAAGAGAGUGCAUAAAACACAAGGGAGACAAAGAAAUAAAGUCUUGGCUGUGGUAUGCUCAGAUCUGUAGACAACAUACCUCCCCCAACAAAAGAAGAAGACUAGUUCCAUGAUAAUCCAGAAACCUUUCAGAAGAGUUAAGAGAAGGAUGCGUGCACAGAAGUCACGACAAGGGAAAAAACGAAGACACUAAGUACAUUCAGUUUUUGUCUGCUUUGUUUUGCUCUACAGUUGGUAUUUUCUUGAAAAAGAAUGCAAGCCAAAGUAUCCAAUUCUUAAACCUAUUAUAUAACACGAUGUGAAAAAUAGUGAUGCAGAAUUCUGUACUUGUGGAAAUUAGUUUGUCUGGAAACAUCUGAGGUCCUUGUAUGUAAAUGAACAUUCAGAAAAAUCUCUGUAUUAGAUCUGAACUCUUACGAGAGGUUUUAGUUUCCCAGAAAAGUGGCCUCCUAGAACCACAGGGAAGUUUCAGACCUGUUGAUUCAAUGGUCUCUUUACUGUGCCCCAAAGAAUCCAUAAAAGAGUCUUAUUCAUUCAACAAGCAUAUAAUGAGUACCUGCUAUGUGGCAGACACUGUUCUAGUACUCAGUGAUAAAAACAAACAAUUCUUACCUUGCCCUAGAAUGGAAAAGGUAGGUUGCUGGUGAUCUAAUUGUUAAGUGCCUGCUGUAAGAUUUGCUUCAUGAGUUAAUGGUCUGUUGUGAGACUUCUUUAAAAGAAAAGGUUUUAAUAAAAAUGAACUAACGCUAUUUAAAAAUAGCUAGUCUACUCUAAACCUUCAUUUUAUAUUAAAAUUUUAUGGCCCAAAAAGGGAAACCAAAUCUCCUGAGGUAGUGUGGAGCUGGUGGCAGGGCCAGGACUAGCACACCACAUUCUAGGCUCCAAGUGAAGGCUUUUCCCUCUCUCUCCCACACUGUUUUUUGGCUCUUCUCCCACCCCACCCCACUUGACAGACUAGUCUAGUAGGAGCUCACAGAUAUGGAAUAAAAAGGUUAGAGUCUAAAUCCCAGAUAAAUCAAUUACAUUUUCCUGGAACUCAGUUUUCCUGGAUCUUAAAGGAUACAUGUGGUUUGGGGAAUCAAAUCAGCCCAAAUAUUUUGUACAUAAUCUGUAAACUGUAAAAUACUAUACAGAUGUUAGUAAUUAUAGUCUGAGUUCCUGUGUCUUCUCAUUGGUACUCCUCAAAGCAAAAUAAUUGAAAGAUGGAGUAAUAAUAGUGAAAUGAAAGGAAAAUAAAAUGUGUCCACUGGCCAAAUUGUUAUAGUUAAAACAAAAAAAAAUGAAAUCUAAACAAUCUUAGUUAGAUGCUGGCCCUGCUGCUUCCUAUGCAAUGUCAGUCAGUGCAGGGAGGCCCUGUGGGCAAUGGUGAGGCUUGAGCACUAGAAAGUCAGACAGGCUCUGAAGUAAUCUCCCUGUCUCCAAUUUGUCAACUGUAAAGUGGAGAAGAUGACACUAGUGCCUAUUUCAUUUGGCUGCUCUUUGAGAUGGUGCUUUAAAAGCCUUUAGCAUAAUAUUUAGGACACACUCAAUGCUCAGUGAUGAUUAUCUAUUAUUUUUAAUUCUAAAAUAUGGACAAUAACUCCUACCUCAUAGGAUAUUUAUGAGGAUUGAAUGAACGAAAGUAAACUGUACAUCCAAUAAGUGAGUGAUGUCUCUGAAAGGUUAAAAAUAUGUUCUUUACCUUUUCCUUCAUUUUUUACUGAUUUAUGAAAUUGGUUGCAAAAAAAUAUACUUACUGGAGGAUUGUAAUUUAAGGGGCAUGUGAUAAGCCAAUUUCUCUGUCAGUAGCUCCAAAAUUUUAGUAUAUGUCAGAAUUUUAUGCCAAACCAGGAAGGCAAUCCCAUUCACAAUUGCCACAAAAAAUAAUAAAAUAAGGAAUUCAGCCAACUAGGGAGGUAAAAGAUCUCUACAAUGAGAACUACAAAACACUGCUCAAAGAAAUCACGGUUGAUACAGACAAAUGGAAAAACAUGCCAUGCUCAUAAAUAAGAAGAGUAAAUAUCAUUAAAAAUGGCCAUACUGCCCAAAGCAAUUUAUAGAUUCAAUGCAAUUUGUAUCAAACUUCCAACAACAUGUGUCACAGAACUAGAAAAAGCUACUUUGAAAUACAUAUGGAACCAAAAAAGAUCCCAAAUAACCAAGGGAAUUCAAGUAAACAGAACAAAGCUGGAAGCCUCAUGCCACCCAAUUUCAAACUAUACUGCAGGGCCGUGGUAAUCAAAACAGCAUGGUACUGGUAUGAAAAAAGAUAUUCAUUUUUUUAAAAAGGCAGCAGUAUCCAUGGACCCUCCUCCUAUGGAGAGGGAGCUCAGAAAUCUGAUUUUUAACAAAUAAUUUCAACACUAUAACACAAACGAUGGUGAUAUGGUUUGGAUGUGUCCCCACCCAAAUCUCAUCUUGAAUUGUAGCUCCCACAAUUUCCACUUGUCACGGGAGGGAACUGGUGGGAGGUAGUGAAAUUGUUGAGUGCAUGUCUUUCCUGUGCUGUUCUCAUGAUAGCGAAUAAGUAUCAAGAGAUCUAAUGUUUUUUUAAAGGGGAGUUUCCCUGCACAAGCUCUCUUCUCUUGUCUGCCACCAUGUGAGACAUGCCUUUCACCUUCCACCGUGAUUGUGAGGCCUCCCCAGCUAUGUGGAACUGUGAGUCCAUUAAACCUCUUUCUUUUGUAAACUGCCCAGUCUCAAGUAGGUCUUUAUCAGCAGCAAGAAAACAGACUAACAUGGAUGGGUAAACACUUCUUGAGUGGUGUAAGCCCUUGUUACUCAAACUGUGUGUUCUGGCAGCAAAAGCAACUCCCUGGGGAUUUGCUAGAAUCACAGAAUCUCAGCUGCACCCUGACCUGCUAAAUCAGAGACAGCAUUUUAACAAGAUCCCUGGGUGACGUGUGUGUGUGUGUGUGUGUGUGUGUGUGUGUGUGUGUGUGUGUGUGUGUGUCUAAGCUCUGUCUCUUGGGAGUUAGGUAACUGACUGUCUUCCUGGAUCUCAUAGCUUCUUUUUCUGUUAAAAAAAAAAAAGUCAUUGCUCUUCCUUAUAAAUGGGAGCUUUAUAAAAGCUUAAUAGAAAAAAAGAACAUAUUAAGAUAUCUCAAUAUUUCUGCUGAAUUAUUAUCAGAAGUUUUUCCCAUUAUAUUGGUCAGUGUCUUUCAUUUAAAAGGCUGUAUGAUAAAUGGAUUUUAGAAAGACAAAAUCUCUUUUAAAAUAUUUAUCUUCUGACCAUUUUUAUUUUAUUUUUAAAAAGGGAAUGAAAAUCAUUUGGAAGUUUUUCAUUGGCUACUACCUCAAAGUUAAAUUUGAUAUUCAGUUACAGUAACUUUAAUAGCCCAGGUUUGGAUAUGUUAAUCCCCCUCCCUAUUUGUAGAGCUUUUUGCUGUUCUACUGCUUCUUAAAGAUUUUUUAAACAUAGAUACAAUUAAUAUACUAUAGGCCAGGUGCUAUGGCUCAUGCUUGUAAUCCCAGCAUUUUGGGAGGCUGAGGUAGGUGGAUCACUUGAGGUCAGGAGUUUGAGACCAGCCUGGCCAACACGGUGAAACCCCAUCUCUACUAAAAAUAUAAAAAUUAGCUGCGUGUGGUGGUGCAUGCCUGUAAUCCCAGCUACGUGGUGGCUUGAGGUGGGACAAUCAUUUGAACCCAGGAGGCAGAAGUUGCAGUGAGCUGAGAUUGCACCACUGUACUCCAGCCUGGGUGACAGAGUGAGACUCCAUCUCAAAUAAUAAUAAUAAUAAUAAUAAUAAUAAUAAUAAUAAUAAUAAAUAUACUCUAAAGCUCAAAGCCAGAUUAUUUUCACAUAUCCAUGCACCCAUGUAAAAAUAGUUACAUUGCACCCCUUCCCAGUCAAUAGCUCCCAAUUCCACCCCAACUAUUCCAACUUCUAUCACUAUAGAUUAGUUUUGGCCAUUCUUGAACUUCAUAUAAAUGAAAUCAUAGAGUAUAUAAUCCUCUGUGUCUGCUUUCUCUUACUUAAGAUCUUCAAAAUACAUCCAUGUUAUUGUAUGUGCUAGCAGUUCAUCCUUUUUAUUGCUGUGUAGUAUUCCAUUGUAUGAAUACAUUGCAACUUUUUAUCCAUGCUUCUGUUGUGGGCAUAUGAGUAAUUUCCAGUUGGGAGUAUUACAAAUAAAACUGAUGUGAAGAUUCAUG
rnacentral:lncRNA from 1 species